GCUGAUUUAUACAGUUACACCAACAAGUCGUGCCAUCCUGACAGCUCGAAAUAUUCUAUGGAAUGUUACUUCAAAAAAAUAUAGACAGAAAUGGAUAAUUGUUGAGAAAUGACAUUUAAAGAGAGAUUGACAUUAAAGAGAGAUUGACACUUCUAUUCCUCUGUUAUGUCAGGGGCAAGACACUAUGGGCCAUUCUAUUUAAUGUCCAACACCCCCAGCCCCCUAUGGAUGGAUUUUUCUGAAGGGUGACUGUUGUAGGUUUGGGUUCAAUAUUUAGGCGGAUAAAUUGACAAGAAGUCAGACAAACAAAAGUACAAAACACUAUAUUCAAUAACAACCUUGAACAUUAUUACAUGAAGUAUUUAUAGCUAUGGAACCGGAUGUGACGUGAACAUGCAAAUCACAACAGUGACUACAUUUGAAGUUGUUUCUGAGGGGUUAAGCCUGUCGGCAUCCUUGAUCUCUGCAAUUUUUCUAAGGAGUAUUGGGG